rnacentral:lncRNA from 1 species
AAAGGCUUCAAUUCCUAAAAAUAAUAAUAAAAUAAAAUAAAGUAAAAUACCCCUCAUCAAAUACCACCUGAUAUGCCCUGAUUUGUAAGAUAUAUCAUGCAAUUGGGAUUUCAAUUCACCAUGGAAAGAAACAUUUAACCGAAUUUCAUAAACCCAAAAGGAAAAAGAAACAGCUUUGAGCUUGAAGUGUUCCUUCGCCUGCUGCGUUCAAAAUUCAGAGCUUUAACACGCCCGGACUCAGUUAUGC